AGCUGUUCGAUGUAAACACUGAAUGCUCCUACUUGCGAUGUGUGGCACACAAGGAGUCAAUACUAGUCGUGCACUGUACAGGCACUUGCUGCGGGAAAUCAAGAAGCUUCCGGCUGAUGCCAGGCCACAUUACAGGCACCAUGUGCGGCAAGGUUUUAACCAGCACAGAGAUGAGACAGACCCAGAAAGGGUGCAGCAAAUUAUCAAUCAAGCUGUGAAAGAUGCAGUCUGGCUUGUUAAUAAGUAUUCAAGGAAGCCGUCGUGACGCGUGAUACCCUGCUUGGUAGAUGGACUCUUCGCUUGGUAAGGGUGCGCACAUUUGUGAAAGUGUAGCCAUGAUUGAUAAUUGGUUGUGCCAUCUUUGCCUUUGGGGUUUGUUAUUAUAAUAAAGCUUCUCUGGGUCUUCGUCAGAUUUAUUCCAUCACGCUAUUUACGGCAUUUCUGUCGGUACCAAGGCUUCCAAAAAUUCUUUCAGCAUUGUCAGCAUCGAAAACGUAAUCUGCCCCGAGACCUGUACUGUCACCCCGUUCACGAUUUCCUUAUAAUUCCUGUUCACUCUCAACUGGCGCAUUGUGCUUCUCUAAACGAUGCCUCGGUCUGCAGGGCGGUUGUUGGAUGUUUGUCUUGUUGCGACAUCGGUGUUUGUAGUGUUUCUACUCCCCGCCAGGCGGUUCUUUUAUUGUUUUAUAUGAUUUAUCAGGCCAUCGUCGAGCUCAUUGGAAAUCGGAGCUUGUAUGCUGUGGAUUCGUUAAGACUACUUCUGGCGGUACUUAUUGCAAUUUUCAUAUCCGCCAGGGGCGUCUAUUUUCGAUUCAUCAGCUGAGUAUGAUUUUGUACCCGGUGCCUCCAACCUUUCCCCCGUUGAUCGCGCUGAGCACCUUUACGUAUCGUAGGUAGGUAUGCAGGUCUGACUCGACUCGUUCCAGUCAGAUAUAAUGUUGCAUGAUGUGUGGACAUGACUAUAUAAUAGACUGCUUUGAGGAAGGUUGGAUAGAACAGUGA
rnacentral:lncRNA from 1 species